AAGCAGUCUAGCGUCUUGGUUAUCGAAGAAUGGAGAGAGUAUUCGGAACGCAUAGGAGGAAACCGGCGGAUCUGCAAUGGAUGUUUUCAUAAGACAUUUUUCUCUCUUCUCGAUGCAAAUUUCUGGAGUUUUUGCAGCAUCGAACUCCGUUUUCCUUGUUCGGACGUUAUCCGUGCGAGUUUUCAAGCAGUCUGCGUCUUGGUUAUCGAAGAAUGGAGAGUAUUCAGAACGCAUUGGAGGAAACCGGCGGAUCUGCAAUGGAUGUUUUCACAAGAUGUUUUUCUCUACUCUCGAUGCAAAUUUCUGGAGUUUUUGCAGCAUCGGACUCCGUUUUCCUUGUUCGUACGAUAUCCGUGCGAGUUUUCAUCUUCGUGAUGCAGUGACCAUCUUAUAUGAUAGAUCUCAUUGAGUGGAUCCAAUUGACCUCAAUUUUGGAGGUAUUCUGUUACCUCUUGCAAGAAGAGAGCACCCAAUGACUGCUAUUUAUGGAGGAAGAAGAAGCUGACUUCACAAGAGCACCAAUAAGGGAAGGAAUCUGAUGCUGCAAGUAAUGAAGCUGAAACAGAGUUAUUGCAGUAAUUGUCGCCACAGUCGCCAUACAAGCCUUUCAACAGGUAAGACGAGGGACUUGAGAAGCUUCUCCCAGUUGCACUUGCACUAGACGAUUUUCCGUUUUCAGUUCCCUUGACA